GUCAUCGCGAGGUGGGGUCUGAAGGAAGCCCAAUCCAAAGCGGCGGGGCGACGAACAGGAACCCGAUACGAGGUGUGGUACAUCCGGGGUGAGCGGGCACGUGACCGCGAAGCCCUCCUUCUGCGACCGGGGUGUACUUUAUAAAUCGGGCGUUUAUGCCGUGAAAGCUCUGUGC
rnacentral:ncRNA from 1 species